UACGUAGGGGGCCAGCGUUGCUCGGAAUUACUGGGCGUAAAGGGUCCGUAGGCGGUGUGGCAAGUCGGGAGUGAAAUCUCUGGGCUUAACCCAGAGGCUGCUUCCGAAACUGCCAUGCUAGAGUGUGAGAGAGGCGAGUGGAAUUACGGGUGUAGCGGUGAAAUGCGUAGAUAUCCGUAGGAACAUCCGAGGCGAAGGCGGCUCGCUGGAUCACAACUGACGCUGAGGGACGAAAGCGUGGGGAGCAAACAGG
rnacentral:rRNA from 1 species